rnacentral:rRNA from 1 species
AUGAACGCUGACAGAAUGCUUCACACAUGCAAGUCAACUUGAACUUCGGUUUGGGUGGCGGACGGGUGAGUAACGCGUAAAGAACUUGCCUCACAGAUAGGGACAACAUUUGGAAACGAAUGCUAAUACCUGAUAUUAUGAUUUUAGGGCAUCCUAGGAUUAUGAAAGCUAUAUGCGCUGUGAGAGAGCUUUGCGUCCCAUUAGCUAGUUGGAGAGGUAACGGCUCACCAAGGCGAUGAUGGGUAGCCGGCCUGAGAGGGUGAUCGGCCACAAGGGGACUGAGACACGGCCCUUACUCCUACGGGAGGCAGCAGUGGGGAAUAUUGGACAAUGGACCAAGAGUCUGAUCCAGCAAUUCUGUGUGCACGAUGAAGUUUUUCGGAAUGUAAAGUGCUUUCAGUUGGGAAGAAAAAAAUGACGGUACCAACAGAAGAAGUGACGGCUAAAUACGUG